ACAGGUGUGGUGUAGGGGUAACAUGGGACUUUGCCAUAGUCUCGCCCCGGGUUCGAUUCCCGGCACCUGUA
rfam:Pseudocohnilembus persalinus scaffold1142, whole genome shotgun sequence.